rnacentral:ribozyme from 2 species
ACUUUAACUCCGCCUGUAGCCCUUCCGGGAGUUGCUGCUGGUCCCAAGCCCGGAUAAAGGAGGAGGGUUGG